rnacentral:rRNA from 1 species
ACCAUGUCAAGUCGUUAUGCCCUUUAUGGACUGGGCUAUUCAUAUGAUACAAGGGCUGUUACAAUAAGGUGCUGUAAGUUAUGCUACAGCUAAACUUAAAAAUAGCCUAAGUUCGGAUUGUAGCCUGAAACUUGGCUACAUGAAGUCGGAAUAGCUAGUAAUCACUCAUCAUCACGGAGUGGUGAAAUUUUUCGAUUCAA